GAGAGGACAGCUCAGCAGUGGAGUGUGUGCUUAGCAUGCACAAGGUCCUGGGUUCAAUCCCCAGUACUGUCA
rnacentral:tRNA from 1 species